CACGAACGCUGGCGGCGUGCCUAAUACAUGCAAGUCGAGCGCAGGAAACUGACGGAACUCUUCGGAGGGAAGGCAGCGGAAUGAGCGGCGGACGGGUGAGUAACACGUAAGGAACCUGCCUCAAGGAUUGGGAUAACUCCGAGAAAUCGGAGCUAAUACCGGAUAGUUCAACGGACCGCAUGGUCCGCUGAUGAAAGGCGCUUCGGCGUCACCUUGAGAUGGCCUUGCGGUGCAUUAGCUAGUUGGUGGGGUAACGGCCCACCAAGGCGACGAUGCAUAGCCGACCUCAGGGGGUGAUCGGCCACACUGGGACUGAGACACGGCCCAGACUCCUACGGGAGGCAGCAGUAGGGAAUCUUCCACAAUGGACGAAAGUCUGAUGGAACAACGCCGCGUGAGUGAUGAAGGUUUUCGGAUCGUAAAACUCUGUUGUAAGGGAAGAACACGUACGAGAGGAAAUGCUCGUACCUUGACGGUACCUUACGAGAAAGCCACGGCUAACUACGUGCCAGCAGCCGCCGUAACAC
rnacentral:rRNA from 1 species